GUGUGUUCCAGGUAAAUCCGGUUCACUUUAACACUGAGGCGUGAUGACGAGGCACUACGGUGCUGAAGCAACAAAUGCCCUGCUUCCAGGAAAAGCCUCUAAGCAUCAGGUAACAUCAAAUCGUACCCCAAACCGACACAGGUGGUCAGGUAGAGAAUACCAAGGCGCUUGAGAGAACUCGGGUGAAGGAACUAGGCAAAAUGGUGCCGUAACUUCGGGAGAAGGCACGCUGACACGUAGGUGAAGUGAUUUACUCAUGGAGCUGAAGUCAGUCGAAGAUACCAGCUGGCUGCAACUGUUUAUUAAAAACACAGCACUGUGCAAACACGAAAGUGGACGUAUACGGUGUGACGCCUGCCCGGUGCCGGAAGGUUAAUUGAUGGGGUCAGCGCAAGCGAAGCUCCUGAUCGAAGCCCCGGUAAACGGCGGCCGUAACUAUAACGGUCCUAAGGUAGCGAAAUUCCUUGUCGGGUAAGUUCCGACCUGCACGAAUGGCGUAAUGAUGGCCAGGCUGUCUCCACCCGAGACUCAGUGAAAUUGAACUCGCUGUGAAGAUGCAGUGUACCCGCGGCAAGACGGAAAGACCCCGUGAACCUUUACUAUAGCUUGACACUGAACAUUGAGCCUUGAUGUGUAGGAUAGGUGGGAGGCUUUGAAGUGUGGACGCCAGUCUGCAUGGAGCCGACCUUGAAAUACCACCCUUUAAUGUUUGAUGUUCUAACGUGGACCCGUGAUCCGGGUUGCGGACAGUGUCUGGUGGGUAGUUUGACUGGGGCGGUCUCCUCCUAAAGAGUAACGGAGGAGCACGAAGGUUGGCUAAUCCUGGUCGGACAUCAGGAGGUUAGUGCAAUGGCAUAAGCCAGCUUGACUGCGAGCGUGACGGCGCGAGCAGGUGCGAAAGCAGGUCAUAGUGAUCCGGUGGUUCUGAAUGGAAGGGCCAUCGCUCAACGGAUAAAAGGUACUCCGGGGAUAACAGGCUGAUACCGCCCAAGAGUUCAUAUCGACGGCGGUGUUUGGCACCUCGAUGUCGGCUCAUCACAUCCUGGGGCUGAAGUAGGUCCCAAGGGUAUGGCUGUUCGCCAUUUAAAGUGGUACGCGAGCUGGGUUUAGAACGUCGUGAGACAGUUCGGUCCCUAUCUGCCGUGGGCGCUGGAGAACUGAGGGGGGCUGCUCCUAGUACGAGAGGACCGGAGUGGACGCAUCACUGGUGUUCGGGUUGUCAUGCCAAUGGCACUGCCCGGUAGCUAAAUGCGGAAGAGAUAAGUGCUGAAAGCAUCUAAGCACGAAACUUGCCCCGAGAUGAGUUCUCCCUGAGACUUUAGGUCUCCUGAAGGAACGUUGAAGACGACGACGUUGAUAGGCCGGGUGUGUAAGCGCAGCGAUGCGUUGAGCUA
rnacentral:rRNA from 1 species